rnacentral:lncRNA from 1 species
AAAUACUUCCUUUGUUUCAUAAUACUAGGAUAAUGCCCGUGCGUUUCAACGGGAUAUAAAUAUUUUAAUACAAUAGAAAAUUACAAUGGUGCAUACAUAUCUUUGUGGUUUAACUUCAAUCGCGCCAAACUUGUACCUUUAGGAUCCUUUUGCACAUCAGACGAUAAUGUAGAUUUUUUUUACAGUCUUCUUCCUUCACCAACUACCGUCAAAUCUCUGCCUUUUCAAUCCAAGCUCGACAUGCCUGUCAAUGUGGCAUCCGGCUCAUAAUCCGGCACAAACUUAAAAGACAAAAUAAAUAAAUAAAUAAAUAAAUAAACAUUUGCCCAGUCAACCUCGUCCAUUGAUCUAAGCGGCUAAACCCACAUAAAAUGCACAUCAACAUCAAAAUUCAACCGCUCGCUUCCUAGCGGUGUCGUGCACCCAUAGGAUGUUGACUCCAUUCUUACUACAAUUAUCUCUAUGUUGCUACCAAAUAUAUUACGUAAGAUCUUUAUAUCUAGUCUAAGAAGCAUGUGCAUUAUUACAACUUACAAAACAAUAUAAUAUGACUAUGUAUUUCCUCUCUUGUCUCUUAUUCUUUCUCCUCCCACCCAGUUCAUUUUUUUAUUUAUUUGUUGUCAAUUUUCUUAUCAAGAUUUUGAAUAAAGAAAUUUUGAAAAUGCUCACAUGGAAAUAAAUAUGGAGAAAACCAAUUAUUAAGACCGUCGAAGCAAAUAAAAAGAUGAGAUAAUACCUUGAUAAAAAUAUUUGCAGAUCCACUACUGUGACUGCUUGGAUCACUGUUUGAGUACACUGCCCCAAUGGGCUGUUGUUCACUGGAGCACAAUUCAACACUUGCAGUGCACUUGAAGCUGCCAAAUGGAUAUUAUCAGAAAGCAUGCACGAGUAGCCAAAGCUGAUGAUAAAUGAAAUGAAGAAUAAUAUAGAACAGUUAUGAUGCCGUUGGUACAACUUCCAAACAAUCCUCAAAUUUGAAGUCUGAAAUCAUGAAAUAAAGCCAUGAAAGAAUAUAUAAACUGUAGUAGGUAGACAAAUUAUCAUCGGUCUAAUUAUGCAUGCAUGCGAUGCUGGAUUAUGUAGAGAUUGAAAUUUGUACCGAAGCUUCCUAUUCUAGUACCAACUAUUCCUCACCCACAGACAUGGAGAUCGUUGGUGUGACCAGAGACGUC